UUGAUCUGGCGCUGUCUGGAGUCCCCCUGGGAGGGCUCUCGGCUGUGUUGUCAGCAACCAGGCUGUGACUGAGCUCUGAGCUGGUGACUGAGCAGUGACUCAGCCAGGAGAGCUGAGGUGAUCCCCCUAGCCAAUCCCAGGAUCUGCUGUGUUCAGCCCAGCUGGGAAGAGAAGGAGCCCCAGGGAUGAGUAAGCUUGCUCAGUGGGCUGGAGGAGGAAGCAGAGGCUGCGUGAUGCCCGGGCAAAGCAACGUUAUCAGCCUCCAUCUGGAGGCUGUUUCGCAGCCUGGGGAACAGGGUGCAGACGCUGCCGCUUCGAGGAUGAAAAGGGUCAUCCUGUGAAACACUCGGCACCGUUGCCAAGUUGGAAGAUUUUUCGAUUCUAAACUCCUGGACAUUGAGGAGUGGCCAUUCCCAGAGGGAUCCGCUCACUGUUCAGCCCAGCCGUGGUUCAGAGGGAGCGCCCAGACAGCUCCUGCACCCCAGCUGUCCACCCGCCAGUGACAUCCGCCUCUGGCUUGCUGAGAACCAGUCUCUGUAGGCUGAACAGUGAAAACUCCACCAUGGCUCUACAACUCCAGAAACUUUUCUCUGCAUAUGAAAGCGAUGAGAAUGAAGUCAACCACCCUCUUCCAACUGAAACCUCCCUCCUUUCAGCUGGCGACAGAUAACUGUAGGACCCUGGGGAUUCUGAGGUUUCCCAGAUCAAUCACCUGCACAAUUACUGGGCUCUGCCUCUGGCCCCAAUGCCUGAGGCAAGGUGGGCAGGAGGAGUGAAUGGCCCUCUUCCCGGGAGCCCUGUAAACCACUGUAGGUAGGAGAACAAUUGACUGAUCCCCCCACACCUAAGUGCCUUGGCAGAAAGGAUCCCAAAGAAAGGACAAUGAAUUCUUAGCCUCUGGGAAAAGAAGAGACCUGAUGAGGUGACUUUGUCAUGGGCCCUCCUUUACUGGGCACCUUGAAAACCAGGUGGGCACCAGGGCCCAUCUGGGGCCACUUUGCCACCUUGGGGGCAGGGAACAGAGUAGCCUGCAAACCCACCUGACAGUGAAUGGGGCCCCUGAGCGCAUUGACUGGGCGAGUUUCCGCAGGUAGAAGCCCUGGGCUCCAUGGGGACAAGAGGAGGAGGAGGGUGGUCCAGGGAGAGCAGACAUCUGGAACCAAAGCACAGAGGCUUGGGACAGUCAUCCCGAGGGCUGUCCAAAGGCCCAGCCCACAAUUCAGGAGGGCCUUACAGAUGAGAGCCGAGGUGUCCGGGAGGGAGAUGGAUAAGCGGAAGAGGCUGACAGGUGGCCACAAGUGGGGAUCGUGGAGGUCACACCACUCCAGUCUCUCCCUGCAGAUGCAUCAAUUCUACAGUGUUGUGGGUUUAUAUUUAUUAAUUGAAUGCUGCUGUGGAAUAAGGAAUUUCAAACCGUUUGCAGACAUAACCUAUUUGAUCCUCAUUACUUCGUUAGGUAAAAGUACUAUUGUCAUUUCUACUUACUAGUGAGAAAACACAUGUCACGCAGGACAGCCAGGAAUAAGUCCUGGGUCUGUCCGUUCCUAACUUCAAGAAUAUUGUCGUCAAGACUAGACAGCUCUCUGUUAGGAGGCCAGAGGGUCAUUAGAUAGAAAGCAGCAGUCCAUAAACUUGAACAUGGAAAAUUUGCAUUUUACCAACAUCUAACUAAAAUUCUGUAGAAUGUCUUUCAAUUAUGAAUGUAGGCAAUGGCAAUAGUAUUAACAGUACCUGUGAUUACCAACAAAAAGAACAGAAAUUACAGAUCUUUUCAUGCCAUAUCAAAGUUGUUGCAGACAUUGCAAAAUAUCACAUACACUCAUCACUAUUUAAAAACAGCGGCUGCUAUUAAACUUGCUGAUAAGGGACAGAGCAACUGAGGAAGUCAGACAUCUGAGAAUGAAGGACAGGUGGCUGCCUACCACUGAGCCUUAAUCAGAACAACAGAGCAUCUCUGCACAUCAUCACCACACAGUGACAAGCCAACCAGAACAAGAACAAGAACAUCAGAACAGACAAAGGAAAGACACGAGCAGAAAGACACUCUCUAAGGCGGAAGGCAGAGGGCAGGUCUGCUGCUGAGAGUCAAGCAGAUAUUUCUCCAACAGACAAACCCCUGUCCUAAAGCGCAAGGUAUUUCCACAAGAAUCUGAAGGCUAAGGUGCACUGAGGGCAGCCAUAGCAACAAUGAACCUCAAACCCAGCCCAGCUGCUACCUAGAUUAACUCAACCACCCAUCUCUGCCGCAAGACCCACCAGAAGAAAAAGCAGGUCUAUUUCCAGAGGGGGAAAAAUGGUCUAAAUUUCUACAGUUCUACACAAGAUGUCCAGCUUUAAAGAAAAAAAUUAUGAAGCAAAUGAAAAGGCAGGAAGGGCACACUUCCAAGAAACAGUAAUAGUAAGAACUAAACUCAGGUGAUUCGUGAAAAUGGUUCGCUGUUCACUUGACCCAGAAAACCCUACAAAAUCAUGCAAGUCAAGAGGUUCAAAUCUUCGUGUUCACUUCAAGAACACUCGUGACACUGCCCAGGCCAUCAAGGGUAUGCAUAUACGAAAAGCCACCAAGUAUCUGAAAGAUGUCACUUUAAAGAAACAAUGUGUACCAUUCCGAUGUUACAAUGGUGGAGUUGGUAGGUGUGCCCAGGCCAAACAGUGGGGCUGGACACAGGGUCGGUGGCCCAAGAAGACUGCUGAAUUUUUGCUGCACAUGCUUAAAAAUGCGGAGAGUAAUGCUGAACUUAAGGGUAUGGAUAUAGAUUCUCUGGUCAUUGAGCAUAUCCAGGUGAACAAAGCACCCAAGAUGCGUCGCCGAACUUACAGAGCUCAUGGUCGGAUUAAUCCAUACCAUGAGCUCCCCCCCUGCCACAUCGAGAAUGAUCCUCACUGAAAGGAACAAAUUGUUCCAAAACCAGAAGAGGAGGUUGCACAGAAGAAAAAGAUAUCCCAGAAGAAACUCAAGAAACAAAAAUUUAUGGCACGGGAAUAGAUGUAACAUAAAAUAAAU